AUGUCAUGUUGAGGGCACUUUCAUAAUAAUUCCUUGAAUCGCUCCCAUGCCUCAUAUAUAUAUUCUUUACCAAGUUGCUAAAAUGAAGUGAUUUCAUUUUGGAUCUU
rfam:Gossypium hirsutum cultivar TM-1 chromosome 6, whole genome shotgun sequence